rnacentral:lncRNA from 1 species
CAUUGUGUUUCCACCCCUUGCCAAUUUACUUAUAGGGUAUUAUUAACUGGUUAAUAAUAAAACUGGAAGUGAGGCGCAAGCGCGAUCGCGUCAACCUGCGAAUUCAAAGCAAAGUUUUUCAGUCGAAAGUUUCAUGAUUGCCGGACGGUUUUAUUACAGUUUCGAAAUACCAGGUGAAUUACUGAAACUUUGACACUUGUUAUAUAAUCAAUACGCAACCAACCACUCGGCCGCCGAGGCCACAAAACAUGCUGUUUCCCCAGCCUAGUCCCAGGCUCUCUCUCUCUAUUCGCUGCUUUGAUAUAUUUAAAUAAGACUUAAAAGUUUUAUGCCUGGGUGUGCUGUGCGGAACGCUUCAGCGAGAGAGCCUAGCAGAUUUCGGUAAAAUGGUCCCUGAUUUCAAAAAAGUGGUCCCUGGCCUGGUUACCAAGCAUACCACCUUUGUAAAUAGAAAAUGUUAUGGAAAUUUCCUUUGCGUUUAUCGGAACUGUGAAAUAGGCUGUCGGAACAAUGAAAUAGGCUACGUUUCUAAGGCUACUAAAUCUGACUCGUGUUUACUAAAAUAUAAAGCCAUAGUAAAUGCUAUAUAGAAGCUUGAAAAUUAUGCCGAGUCUCCGACUAAAAAUGUUUUGACAACACAGUCGUGUCAGGCAUGCAAAUAUUUCCUAUCUCCUCAGCUACUUAAACCUGUCAAGUAGAAAGCGUGGUUGUGUAUACCAGUAUGAUCUAUAGUGUUGAUUAGGGAUGAGCCGAUAAGGAAAAUUGCCGAUUACUGAGGCCGAUUAUUUAUAAGCCGAUUAUUGUACCUAAUCGGCCGAUUAAUCGGUACCCGCCGAUUAUUUUAAAAAGCAAGCGAACAAUCACAAGAUGACCAACAAUGAAGUUGUAAAUGUGGUUUUAUUGUUUACAAUACACAUUACGUACAAUUGAAAACAGCUUCAAUCUUGCAUGUCAAUAGUCAAAGUUUAGUUUUGGAAGAUUAUGGUGUAAAAACAGGAUAUUGUCAGUUUUGCGGAGCUAGUCUGCUGCGUUUUUCACUUCACUUGAGACAAAAGACACCGGUUUUGCAACAAAAUGUGAAAAUCUAUUUGCUUGUAUUCAGUAUUUUAGCAUGUGCUUGGCAGCUGCAGAAAAAGUCUUAUGGCCGAUUAUUUGCCGAUUAUCAAGCAAUAAUCGGCCGAUUACCGAUUAUUUAAAAAACGGCCGAUUAUUUACUGAUUAAUCGGCUCAUCCCUAGUGUUGAUCACAACUUGCGAGUAUAUAUAUAAAUAACAUCAACGAUUAUACGACCAUUGCUCAGACUCAGUAUCAUAAAUUUGUAUAUAAUUUUUUUUGACCGAGCACAUUUUUAAUACAUGUAUAGCUUGAUCAACGAACAUUGUCGUAUUUACAAGCUUAUUUGUAUACAUAAAUUUUCCGGCAUAUUAAAAAUACUGAAAUCUGCUAGGCGUUCUGAAGCACCUUUAGCGGUGACGUCACACCUAGGUCCCAGUCUCGUACUACAUCCACGUUUUUUCUCGCGCUUGCUUCAGAACGACUGGGACUAGGCUGCGGCUGGCCAUCUGCAAAUAAAAUUUGCAGCUCUUCACAUUGUCAAAAUACAACUAUUCUUGAUCGCUUUUUUAGUUAAACACAUUGUAAAAUUUACGUAUUGCCCGUGGGCAAUACGGGAAAAUCCUGCCUCGCCAGCAGCCAAUCAAAUUGCGCGAUUCGUCAAAACAAAUACUUGCCAUAUAAUAAAUUGGGUUACAGCUUGUAUUUGAAUUUAAUCGAGUAUGAAAUUGCCAGGACUAAGUCGUAGCCGUAUUCGGCAGUGGAAUUACUUCCAUAUCGUGUAUAGCAAGUGUUGUAUAUGAAAUUAAAAUACUCAUUAAAAAUUCAUAAACCUUGUGGCAAAUCAUGUCAGCCCAAAGAUGUCAGCCAUAACAUGUCACGUGGAGUGACUUUAUAUCUGAUAAAACUCAUCUUCAUUAGUAUUCUUUAUAUAAUUGUUCAUCCUAAUUAGUAUGAUUAUAUAAUUGUUCAUCCUAAUUAGUAUUCUUUUGUGGUCGUAUUUUAGGCUAUUCAAAAUACGAGAAGCAGUGUUUUAUCAUAUCUAAAACGCUCGGCUGCUCCUCGCGUUUUAAAUAUGAUAAAACACUCCUUCUCCUGUUUUAAAUACUACAUAAUCCUGGCCAAUAAUUCCGUAGGUAAACUGUCGUUUAAAGAAAAAAUGUCAUAUAAAGGAACUGGAACGCUACCUUCCGAG